CCCGAGUGCUGAGGACAAACUUCGACGCUCCCCCACGUUCUACAUCUCAGUGAGGAUUUAUGAAGAUUUUCCACAACAACCAAGAAGAGGGCAAAAUGUCUCCAGACAGGAAGUCUUCGUGUGUUUGCUGCUGUCUUUUACUCUGGAACCUAAACCUGAAGCCCAGGUGACGCCCGAAAGCAGACACACCUUUCAACAUGCAGGGGCAGGACUCCUCACUGCACAGCCCAGCCCACAUCUGCUACAGAGCCGGUGCACAAUGGCACACUCCCUAAAUAAAACCUUGUGGCCCAGCCAGACCCUGUCCCCGUGCAGUGCCUAGAAGUGACGACCUGCCUGCCUAGUCUCAGUGAAUCAGUGGAACUCCAACGCUCAGGGUGCGUGCGCUUCGGACUUUCUUCCCCAGUGGUGCCCUAGGCCAGCCAGGGCAACGACACCGCGCCACACUGGCUCCAGCCGUUACAGACACUCCUGGGUUGUUCUCACUGGUUGAUAGGAAUUUUGGGGAGAUGGUGGUGUGUGACUAAGAGACACACAGGCAUGCCUGGCCGCAUUCUCCACCACACCCACAGGAGAUCAUGGGGACAGGACCCAAGUCUCACCCAGCCGGAGAGAGAGGUCCAGAAGAAAGAACACAAGGAAACAAAGACAGCUACAGUGUACUCAUAUACAUAAAUAAAUAAAUCUUUAAAAAAAUGAAAAUGUUAUUUUAAAAAAAUGGGGGUGGGGAGGGGUAAAUGCUCUUAUUCUUUCUAUUCAGCUGGGUUCGAUCGUUGGGACUUGCAUGGUGGAAGGAGGAAACUGACUUUUCUCUCCAGUUGUCCUCUGACAGCAGCUGUGUGUUGUGGCACGCACGUCUCCCCCAGCCCCACAAAAGCACAUUUAAGAUGUAAUAAUAAAUAAAUAUAACAAACAAAGACAGGUUUGCUGGUUUCCCCCAGAACUGAAUGGGGUAUAAAUGAUCAGGCACGCAAAUGUUUAAAAUCUCACAAAGGAGCUGCCCGCCCCAAAUAACCUCCCAGCACCACUGCGCGUGACCACGGGGACUGAGUAAGUAUAAGAAUGUAAGAUGAUGGGGUUGGGGAUUUAGCUCAGUGGUAGAGCGCUUGCCUAGGAAGCGCAAGGCCCUGGGUUCGGUCCCCAGCUCCGGAAAAAAGAACAACAACAAAAAAAAAAAAAAAAAAAAAAAAAAAGAA